rnacentral:rRNA from 1 species
AUUGAACGCUGGCGGCAGGCCUAACACAUGCAAGUCGAACGAGUGGCGGACGGGUGAGUAAUGUCUUGGAAACUGCCUGAUGGAGGGGGAUAACUACUGGACACGGUAGCUAAUACCGCAUACCAUCAGAUGUGCCCAGAUGGGAUUAGCUGGUUGGUGGGGUAAAGGCUCACCAAGGCGACGAUCCCUAGCUGGUCUGAGAGGAGGACCAGCCACACUGGAACUGAGACACGGUCCAGACUCCUACGGGAGGCAGCAGUGGGGAAGAUGGCACAAUGGGCGCAAGCCUGAUGCAGCCAUGCCGCGUGUAUGAAGAAGGCCUUCGGGUUGUAAAGUACUUUCAGCGGGGAGGCGGUACCCGCAGAAGAAGCACCGGCUAACUCCGUGCCAGCAGCCGCGGUAAUUC